rnacentral:rRNA from 1 species
GAUGAACGCUGGCGGCGUGCCUAAUACAUGCAAGUCGAGCGAACGGACGAGAAGCUUGCUUCUCUGAUGUUAGCGGCGGACGGGUGAGUAACACGUGGAUAACCUACCUAUAAGACUGGGAUAACUUCGGGAAACCGGAGCUAAUACCGGAUAAUAUUUUGAACCGCAUGGUUCAAAAGUGAAAGACGGUCUUGCUGUCACUUAUAGAUGGAUCCGCGCUGCAUUAGCUAGUUGGUAAGGUAACGGCUUACCAAGGCAACGAUGCAUAGCCGACCUGAGAGGGUGAUCGGCCACACUGGAACUGAGACACGGUCCAGACUCCUACGGGAGGCAGCAGUAGGGAAUCUUCCGCAAUGGGCGAAAGCCUGACGGAGCAACGCCGCGUGAGUGAUGAAGGUCUUCGGAUCGUAAAACUCUGUUAUUAGGGAAGAACAUAUGUGUAAGUAACUGUGCACAUCUUGACGGUACCUAAUCAGAAAGCCACGGCUAACUACGUGCCAGCAGCCGCGGUAAUACGUAGGUGGCAAGCGUUAUCCGGAAUUAUUGGGCGUAAAGCGCGCGUAGGCGGUUUUUUAAGUCUGAUGUGAAAGCCCACGGCUCAACCGUGGAGGGUCAUUGGAAACUGGAAAACUUGAGUGCAGAAGAGGAAAGUGGAAUUCCAUGUGUAGCGGUGAAAUGCGCAGAGAUAUGGAGGAACACCAGUGGCGAAGGCGACUUUCUGGUCUGUAACUGACGCUGAUGUGCGAAAGCGUGGGGAUCAAACAGGAUUAGAUACCCUGGUAGUCCACGCCGUAAACGAUGAGUGCUAAGUGUUAGGGGGUUUCCGCCCCUUAGUGCUGCAGCUAACGCAUUAAGCACUCCGCCUGGGGAGUACGACCGCAAGGUUGAAACUCAAAGGAAUUGACGGGGACCCGCACGAGCGGUGGAGCAUGUGGUUUAAUUCGAAGCAACGCGAAGAACCUUACCAAAUCUUGACAUCCUUUGACAACUCUAGAGAUAGAGCCUUCCCCUUCGGGGGACAAAGUGACAGGUGGUGCAUGGUUGUCGUCAGCUCGUGUCGUGAGAUGUUGGGUUAAGUCCCGCAACGAGCGCAACCCUUAAGCUUAGUUGCCAUCAUUAAGUUGGGCACUCUAAGUUGACUGCCGGUGACAAACCGGAGGAAGGUGGGGAUGACGUCAAAUCAUCAUGCCCCUUAUGAUUUGGGCUACACACGUGCUACAAUGGACAAUACAAAGGGCAGCGAAACCGCGAGGUCAAGCAAAUCCCAUAAAGUUGUUCUCAGUUCGGAUUGUAGUCUGCAACUCGACUACAUGAAGCUGGAAUCGCUAGUAAUCGUAGAUCAGCAUGCUACGGUGAAUACGUUCCCGGGUCU